UUGGAGGGCAAGUCUGGUGCCAGCAGCCGCGGUAAUUCCAGCUCCAAUAGCGUAUAUUAAAGUUGUCGCAGUUAAAAAGCUCGUAGUUGAAUUUCGGGGUUCUACCGUUGGUCGGGCUUUGUCUGUACUGGUGUGUAGAAUUUCUACCUUCUGGGGAACCAUCAUGCUAUUAAUUUAGCGUGGUGGGAAACCAGGACCUUUACCUUGAAAAAAUUAGUGUGUUCAAAGCAGGCUUAUGUCUGAAUACAUUAGCGUGGAAUAAUAGAAUAGGACGGUGGUCCUGUUUUGUUGGUUUCUGAAUCACCGUAAUGAUUAAUAGGGAUAGUUGGGGGCAUUAGUAUUCAAUUGUCAGAGGUGAAAUUCUUGGAUUUAUUGAAGACUAACUUCUGCGAAAGCAUUUGCCAAGGAUGUUUUCAUUAAUCAAGAACGAAAGUUAGGGGAUCGAAGACGAUCAGAUACCGUCGUAGUCUUAACCAUAAACUAUGCCGACUAGGGAUCGGACGAUGUUAAUUUUUCUUGACUCGUUCGGCGCCUUACGGGAAAC
rnacentral:rRNA from 1 species